rnacentral:tRNA from 1 species
GGUUCCAUAGUGUAGCUGUUAGCACGUCAGCUUUACAUGUAGAAGGUCCUGGGUUCUCGCCCCGGUGGAGCCC